rnacentral:rRNA from 1 species
UAAUUUAAAGUCUGACCUGCCCUAUGAAUUUAGUGUUUAAAUGGCCGCGGUAUUUUGACCGUGCAAAGGUAGCAUAAUAAUUAGUUUUUUAAUUGGGAACUGGUAUGAAUGGUCGAACGAGAAAAAAACUGUCUCAAUUUAAUUUAAAUUAGAAUUUUAUUUUUAAGUAAAAAAGCUUAAAUAAUUUUAAAAGACGAGAAGACCCUAUAGAGUUUUAUAUAAAUUUUAUAUAUUUAAAAAUUUAAGUAUAUUAAAAUUUAAUUAUUAAAAUUUAUAUUUAAUUGGGGUGAUUAAAAAAUUAAUAGAACUUUUUUUAUAUAUAUACAUUGAUUUAUGAAUAAAUGAUCCAUAUAUUUAUGAUUAUAAGAUUAAAUUACCUUAGGGAUAACAGCGUAAUUUUUUUUGAGAGUUCUUAUCGAAAAAAAAGUUUGCGACCUCGAUGUUGGAUUAAAAUUAACUUUUGGUGUAGUAGCUAAAUAGGUUAGGUC